rnacentral:rRNA from 1 species
ACGGGAGGCAGCAGUGGGGAAUAUUGCACAAUGGGGGAAACCCUGAUGCAGCGACGCCGCGUGAGUGAAGAAGUAUUUCGGUACGUAAAGCUCUAUCAGCAGGGAAGAAAAUGACGGUACCUGACUAAGAAGCACCGGCUAAAUACGUGCCAGCAGCCGCGGUAAUACGUAUGGUGCAAGCGUUAUCCGGAUUUACUGGGUGUAAAGGGAGCGUAGACGGCGAGGCAAGUCUGAAGUGAAAUGCGGGGGCUCAACCCCUGAACUGCUUUGGAAACUGUUUUGCUAGAGUGCAGGAGAGGUAAGUGGAAUUCCUAGUGUAGCGGUGAAAUGCGUAGAUAUUAGGAGGAACACCGGCGGCGAAGGCGGCUUACUGGACUGUAACUGACGUUGAGGCUCGAAAGCGUGGGGAGCAAACAGGAUUAGAUACCCUGGUA